CUCUCGCUGCGUCUCCUCCUCUAUCGCUGCGUCUCCUCCUCUCUUGCUCUCUUGUUCGUUACCUCUCUCGCUGCACAGGUCUCUCCUGUCAAACCCAACGUCGCCUGCUUGCAGCCCCAGGCCUUCAAUACCAACAAGAGAUUUGGUCAUAUCCCUCUUGGCUGCUCCUUUAUUCAAGUAUGCCUCUCACAACAGGAAAUUUACCCUCCUCUUGCUUUUAAUUUAUGUUUCCUUUCCGUAUGAUGGUUUUUUUUUAUCUAAGUACAGAUUGUUUGGCUUCAAGUUACUCGUGUUUUCCGUCUCUCUUUGUCUCUGUAGCUAUGUUUUUGAUGGUUCACUAUUGUCAAAAGGCGCCCACUCCAAAGUAGCUAAUAAACCUGAAUUUCCCUGCAUCCCUGUACUUCUUGACAUAUGAUUUUGCAUGAUCUCAAAUUUUCUGUUGCAGAACAAGAGACUGAUUAUCAUUUUACUUCAUUCUGUAUAUGAAAUUGUGAAUUUGGAUAUCAUCAUUGUGGUUCUGAGUCAUCCAAUAAGAUUUGAGGCUCUGUUAGCUGUUACUGUCAUUUGGGUUCUAGUUGUCUAGGUUUGGUUAAACGAGGAACCAAUUUUUUUUGUUCUUGUGGUGGCAAGCCUUUGAGUAUGUUACAAGUUGCAACUCUCUGACUUAAGUAAAAUUUAUACUUGCUGGAAAUGUUUCUCCUAUCAGAUCAUGUUGCUCUAGAUCCCAAAGAAAACGGGAAGAAAACAAAAGGAAUGUAAGUCUUCCCUUUGAUUCAUCUGGAAUUUAGUUUUGCUCAUAACAUUCCUAUGAGGCUUUCUCCAGAACGAAGUUUAAACUCUCACAAAUUGACCUUGAUUUCCCUUUUUUCCCAUUUAAUAGACAGUUUAUCAAAUUGUGGAGCAUCAUGCAUUUUGAGAUCAUCUCUUCUGGUGUCCCCACAAGGAUUGCUGCUGAGCUUCAUUAUGGCCUUUGCUUGUUUCUCUUUCUAAUUUGGAAAUCCAGUUAUCCGUGUAUAGCCCAUCAAUGUGAUCUUGAUUCAUAGGAUGGAUAUCUUAUGAACCUGUGAGCUUCCUUGUGUAGCUGUUCAAUGGAUUGCUCGAGGACUGUAGAUCGAUGCUGACUCCAUCAAUCCCACACUCCAAUUAGAAGCUGUGGUUGUCUUUUAGGGGGACAAGUUUGUUUCCAGUUUGAUUACCAAUUGAUUGCAGAGAUUUUUGUAAAACCAAACUCUGAGAAGUGAUGCCUUUUUAAAGGAAAAAGAAAAACACUAAUUACAUAACUGGUAUUCAUAGAACAACACGUUAGCAAUGUUAUCUGAUUGUAUACAUUUCACAAAUGUUAAGAACCGUCCAAAUAUGAGCAUGCAAGAUUACCAACA